rnacentral:rRNA from 1 species
GUUAAAAGCUCGUAGUUGGAUUUCGGAGUUGGGCGACCGGUCCGCCGUUUCGGUGUGCACUGGUCCGACCCUUCUUUUUCUGUCGGGGACGCGCGCUCCUUAAUUGGGGACGCGGAGUCGGCGCUGUUACUUUGAAAAAAUUAGAGUGUUCAAGGCAGGCUUACGCUCUGAAUACUAUAGCAUGGAAUAACACGAUAGGACUCCGAGCCUAUUUUGUUGGUCUUCGGGACCGGAGUAAUGAUUAAGAGGGACAGUUGGGGGCAUUCGUAUUCCGGUGUCAGAGGUGAAAUUCUUGGAUUUCCGGAAGACGAACUUCUGCGAAAGCAUUUGCCAAGGAUGUUUUCAUUAAUCAAGAACGAAAGUUGGGGGCUCGAAGAUGAUCAGAUACCGUCGUAGUCUCAACCAUAAACGAUGCCGACUAGGGAUUGGAGGAUGUUAAAUCGAUGACGCCUCCAGCACCUUAUGAGAAAUCAAAGUCUUUGGGUUCCGGGGGGAGUAUGGUCGCAAGGCUGAAACUUAAAGGAAUUGACGGAAGGGCACCACCAGGCGUGGAGCCUGCGGCUUAAUUUGACUCAACACGGGGAAACUUACCAGGUCCGGACAUAGUGAGGAU